CAACACUGGAAAAAAGUAUCGGUAUAGGCUAUAAAUUCAUUUGCAAGACAUCUCUAAAAAUGAAGCCCAUACAAUUUUAUUUUAAGCGAAAAAGAGACGAGAAAGAAGAAUCCGGCGAGGGGAAUUCGCAAGGUUCAACUAAUGAAGCCUUUUCACAAGGUUUUCCUGAGGUGGAUAACGUUAGGGAUGCUGAGAACAACUUUAGCGAAGCUGCUGAGAAAAAUGUUAGCGAAGCUACCGUGACCCCCGCUGUCACUUCAACGUCCACUGUAGCCGGCGGAGGGAGAACAUAUAGAUUCAAUGCGAAUUGGCUCAAAAUGUUCCCACGGCUAGAGUUCGAAAACAACGUCAUGUUCUGCAAAUAUUGUAGAGGGCAGAAACAGGCUCGUCCUUCGUGUCAGGAAACUCGCACCUGAAAAGAGAACAUUUCGCGGCGGCAUAUCCAGUGCAGAGAUCUGUACCUGUUGAGACAGGAGAAACCAUCAGUCGGGGUAUCAGCAGCAUUGAGGAGGCAAGUGCUGCUGUCUGAAGAGUAGGCAGCUGAAAUUGAAGAUAAACAUCGCAUAUUCAUUGUGAAGGAAGAAACUUCAGUCAAAUUUGGGCCGCUUAUCAGACUCCACCACAAAAACGGAGUUAACAUUAAUCCCACAUACGACAAUGAGGUAAAAUGUGCGGAGAUGAUCGGUCAAAUUGCUGACAUAAUGAGAGAGCCUGUCAGCAAAGCUGAAAGCCGCAAAGUAUCUUGCCGUUCUAAUAGACACUGAUAUAUCCAACACCAAAUGCAAGAUUUUCUAUAUGCCUUGUUGGAGGAUGGGAAGCCAGUCAGUCUCCUGGUCGGACAACAGACCCUUGAGCACUCCCAUGCCAUUGGAUGGAGGGUCAUGGAUAAAGUGCCUCUCCUUCGGGGCAGAUGGUGCCAACGUGGGGGAGUGAUUGCCCACUUGCAGAGAGAGGCAGGGGGGCAUAUACACUGCUUGCACAAUUAUUAGGCAAGGAAUAACACUGAAGGGGAAUCUGAAAGGCUUCAUGGACCUCGCCAAUCCCCAGCUGAAGCAGCAUAUGGAGCCGGCCAUCAACAUCGGCAUGGAUGAUCUCAAAGCCAGGUUUGGUGGUUUGCUGAAGGAUGAGGGUGUCCAGACCGCAGUGGAGUCUUUCAGAGUGAUAAACCCUGACACAUGACCAGAAGACCAGGCCAGCCUUCUCACCCAUGGCGAUGAUGGUGUGGCAGACCUGAUGAGGCAUUUCAAGGAGCCCUAGAGAGGUAAGAAUUUAUUUCACACUGCAUUGCCAUAUGAGAAUGUUAUGUUUGCAUAUUUGCAAACUCACUUGCUCUGUUCAAUCGGGGUGUGACAUGGCUGCAAUCCAGGAUGAGUGGCAGGGGCUGAAAAUCCUGGUCAGCCACAAUUUCAAGGACAAGUCCUACAGUGGCCUGUGGGAGACCAUGUUGACAAAGGACCCCUACAGGCACAAUUACAAGGGAGGCUAACAGUCCUGAGUGGUUAUGAAUGAUAUCCUUCUAUGGUUGGUUUUGAUAAGUUAAAACCUGUUAUGGCUUGAUCCCGUUAGUGGUCUCAUAAUAAAAAUUCUUCAAACAUACAAGUAUUAUACACCAUUUUAAAGCUUUACUUGUUAAUCCAGCCACAG